rnacentral:rRNA from 1 species
ACUGCUCAGUAACACGUGGACAACCUGCCCUUAGGUUGGGUAUAAACCCGGGAAACUGGGUAUAAUACCCGAUAGGUCUCGAUUGCUGGAAUGCAUCGAGAUUUAAAGCUCCGGCGCCUAAGGAUGGGUCUGCGGCCUAUCAGGUAGUAGUGGGUGUAGCGUACCUACUAGCCUACGACGGGUACGGGUUGUGAGAGCAAGAGCCCGGAGAUGGAUUCUGAGACACGAAUCCAGGCCCUACGGGGUGCAGCAGGCGCGAAAACUUUACAAUGCUGGCAACAGCGAUAAGGGAACCUCGAGUGCCAGGUUACAAAUCUGGCUGUCGAGAUGCCUAAAAAGCAUUUCAUAGCAAGGGCCGGGCAAGACCGGUGCCAGCCGCCGCGGUAACACCGGCGGCUCGAGUGGUAACCGUUAUUAUUGGGUCUAAAGGGUCUGUAGCCGGCCGGAUAAGUCUCUUGAGAAAUCUGACAGCUUAACUGUCAGGCUUUCAGGAGAUACUGUCUGGCUCGAGGCCGGGAGAGGUGGGAGGUACUUCAGGGGUAGGGGUGAAAUCUUGUAAUCCUUGAAGGACCACCAGUGGCGAAGGCGUCUCACCAGAACGGACCUGACGGCAAGGGACGAAAGCUAGGGGCACGAACCGGAUUAGAUACCCGGGUAGUCCUAGCCGUAAACGAUACUCGCUAGGUGUCGGCCACGGUGCGACCGUUGUCGGUGCCGUAGGGAAGCCGUGAAGCGAGCCACCUGGGAAGUACGGCCGCAAGGCUGAAACUUAAAGGAAUUGGCGGGGGAGCAC